UUUAUCCCUUUCAGAGUGCGCCCGGUGAAAUAUGUAAAGCAGCAGCAACCACUCCACUCAAAUUUUAAUGACUGUUAUGCAAGAAUAGAUCAGAUCAGAGCAGUGGUUUGUCAAGCCCAAUACCGUGAUUCUGGUUGUGGUCGUGGCAGAUGCCUGGAGAUAAACAUAAGGGGAGAGCAAGAAUGUAGAGCCUACAGUCGUGGCCAUACCCUGCGUGUCUCCAGCCCCUUGCAUGCCAGGCUCCCAGAGACAGCAAGUGUUUUUAUAGCUGUGAGUAGUUCCAAGAGAAUUUUGUUCCAUUAGUUUGACUGGCGUUUGUUUGAAUUCAUGUGAACUUGUGGCAUCUAUACCUUUCAGCAAGAAGUUCUCACAGCUUCACCGUGUUUGAGGAACUUUCUGCAGUGUUCAUUUUUGCUCUGGCUGCAUUUAGCUCAUCCCAUGGCAGCUACUUUAUGAAUAGGAAACAAUAGAUGUUCACACCCCCUAAGUCUCUGUGUCACACAUGAGUUUAUAGACCUCUGUCUUAUCUCCAUCUUCUUUUUCAUCUAGAAUAGUCCUGGCUGUCUUCAUCAUUCAUUGCAGAAGCUCUUUCUUCCCCGUUGCCCUUCUCUGAACCUUUCCCAGUUCUACCAGUAGGUUCUUUUCUGCUUGUUCUUCAGCUCUUUCUAGGUUCUCACUGUUCCUACAUGAAGAAGGGAUUUGAGUAUGCUGCGGUCAGUAUUGCAGAGCAGUUGUUUGAUGCUAGCCCUUCAGCAGGUACCACAUGCUGCUCAGCAUUAAGUGAAGUGCCGUUUUUCUGUUUGACUGUCUGCUCUGUGAAGCUGUUGCUAAUCCUACCCUUAGAUGUAGGCUUUGCUACGCCUCCUGACAUGACGUUAUCUAGUUUCCAUGGAGGUAAUGGAAGGCUCCCAUUACUGUUGUGUUUUUAUCCUUUGCAACAUUUCUGAUUUCUUCCUGUACCUACUUACAUGCUUCUAUUUAUGUGCCUGCUGUUGCUGCCACUGGUUCAGCAAUGUCAAAUUUAUUUACUUUUUUUUUGUGUGUGUGUGUUUUUUUUAAGUAUCCAGAGAAAGCCAUAUAAGAUGAACCUCAGCUGCAACCUCUGGUUGCAUAUUGAGGAGCUUUUGAAAGAUUAAGAUAUUCUGCAUAUUAAUUGAAGUUAAAUUAUAGGACAUGUUCAUAGAUGGCUACUUUGUAAUCUGUACAGUAUUUAUUCAACAGUAUCUAUUUUCUCCUCUCCCUAAAACAGGAAAUAGCAGAUAUAUAUAAUUCGUUUCUGAAUAGUGAUUGCUGCUGUGCUUCUCCAAUCUAAUUCUACUUUUGUUACAUGUCCAUGUAUGCCAAACUUUGAAAAGUGCUGUCAUUGCUCGUCAAUCAGCAUUAUCCAACACUGCAACUGCCUAAAUGUGCUGCCUUUGAUUCCACUUUUCCUUUUCUUUCCCAUUAAGAAGAGAGGAAUGGUAAUUUACUUGUUUUAUUUUUCUCUGUUGUCUCCAACUCUUCCUAAAGUUGGAGAAACUUCAAGAGGGACAAACUAGGCAACACAGAAUCUGAACACGUUUUCUUCCAUGGACAGAUCAAGGAACUGAGGAAUGUAAUUUGCAAUUAAAACCAAAACAAAUUUGUACUUGAUGUUUGUUAUGAGCUCAGCUUUGUAUUUUGUUUUGAAAUGUUUCCUGAAAAAGAAGAAGAAAAUCUACAAUUAUAUUUUCUUAUAGAAUUAAUUUAACUGAUUUUAGAGGCAGACACUUCAGUCCUGUGGUGUAGCCUGGACAACCUGACUGGUUACUACCAUUGCACUUGCCUGUCUUUAGUAACAAUAUGAAUGGGAGGGAGCAGAACUCUUAGAUUGCUUUGCUGAUUAAUAAAAUCCAUAUCAUGAAUCUCAAGUACAAGAUCAAAGUUGUGUAAGGGGAAAAAUAAAAGAUAAACAAGAAAGAAGCGUAAGAAAUGAAACUCAUGCUGAAGAUGUCUGUACAUCUCAUUAGUUUUUAUAAGAUGCAAUCAUUUGUUUUAUAUUUGUGAUUUCUUUGCAUCAAAUUUGUUGCAGAAAUUAUUUUUCUUAACCCCAAUAAUACGGGGAACUGCUAAGCUGUUCUCUAAAUGUAAAAUAUUUUUCUUUGUGAUGUGUUUUUUUGGGCUUUUUUUGUUGGGUAGCUUCAUAAUGCUGGUAAUAUAAUUUAUUUGAUCUGCUGAGGGUAAAAGCAAGAUGAAAAAUGUGAAAGAAGAGUUGGUAUUUUAAUCUUCUUUGCUGCUAAAUGCAAUUUGCCCUGUGUUUUUAUUAAGAACACCUCCAGAAAUGCUAUGCUUGGAAAAACUAAAUAAAUAAAAAUCCUAGUAA